GCCUGGCUAGCUCAAUCGGUAGAGCGUGAGACUCUUAAACCAGUCAUCUCAAGGUUGUGGGUUCGACCCCCACGUUAGGCU
rfam:Rhizoctonia solani isolate BBA 69670 genome assembly, contig: RSOLAG22IIIB_scaffold00557